GCUGCGAUUACGAUGCGGCGCGCGCGCGCGCCCGCGCUGCCUCGCGGGACGCUGAUUGGCUCCGCCGUGCGCUGACGUCAGAGAGGGGUGAGCGGGGCUGAGGGGGGGGCGGUGAUUCACACCUCUCUGCCCCCCCUUUUUCCAUCCCCUCCACAACUCGGCGGGGUUCCGUCACUGUAACUCUGCAGCGCCCGUGGCUGCGGGGCAGCACCGCACGGCGCGGGGCCGACAGCCCGGCAGUGUCUGGUUGUCACCCGGUGAGGUGUUACUGUCACCCGGCGAUGGCUGAUGGUCACCUGGUGGCACCUGGUUGUGCCCAGCGAGGCGUCACCGUCACCUGAUGGCAUCCGGUUGUACCCACUGAUGUCUGGUUGUCACCUGGUCACAUCCGGGUGUCACCCGGCGAUGGCUGAUGGUCACCUGGUGACACGUGGAUGUGCCCAGCGGGGUGUUACUGUCACCCGAUGGCAUCCGCUUGUCACCCAGUGACGUCUCACUGUCACCUGGCGGUGGCUGAUUGUCACCCACUGACACCUGUUUGUCACCCCAUCACAUCUGGUUGUCACCUGAUGUUGGCCGAUUGUCACCUGGUGGCACCUGGCUGUCACCCACUGAGGUGCUGCUGUCACCUGGUUGUCACCCAGCAGCAGCUGUCCCCCACUGCUGUCUGUCUGUCCCCCUCUGCUGUCUGUCUGUCCCCCGCUGACAGCCAUCCCACCCCCCGCCCUCCUGCCCAUCUCACCCAUCCAUUUGCCUGGGGAUGGGGGUUGUUUUUCCCCUCUGCUGCCAUUGCCUUCGGGAUGGGGGGUGCCCCCAUGAGCCCCCCCCACACACACAGCACUGGGGCUGCCCCACACCCCCCCCACCACAGUGUUCCUUUGCACCGGGGGUGGAUUUGCACUUUCCUGGGGGGUGGGGGUCGGGUUUGGGUGUUGAUUGCAGCCGUUCUGGGGUGGGGGGGGGGGGAAUAAAAGCGAUUUGUGGUAUGAGAUGUGGCCGUGUG
rnacentral:lncRNA from 1 species